GGGGUUUUUAUUCUUUGAAGCAGGCUAGAAUUGUGAGAGAGAGUGUUUUGGAAAGAGGAGGCAUGGCAGAUUUGAGAGAGAGAGGAGUUGAAGAAAGGUUUGUAGAAAAUUGAAUUGGUAUAGUUGAAGGCAGUCAGACUAAGUAAGAGAGAUUGUGAGAGAGUGCAUCUUUGUAGAGUUUGAAAAGGAGGCAGGCAAAGAAAGAGAUGGUACUGGUAACUGUGGAGUUAAGGCAAGGCAAGGCAAGAUUGUAAAGUUGAAGGAAGGAAGAAAGGCAGGCAGAGAGAGAUAGAGAGACACUGUUGAAUCUUUGUGGAGUUUGGAAAGGAGGCAUGUAAAGAGUGAGAGAUGGUAUUGUAGACUAUGGAAAGGUAAGGCAAGGCAAGGCAAGGCAAGGCAAGGCAAGGCAUGGAUAUAAGUGAGUGUUGGUGAUGUUUGGAGUGGAGUAAUAUAUAUUGAGCUGGGUUUUUAUUCUUUGGAAGUAGAAUGGAAGCAGGCUAGAAUUGUGAGAGAGAGUGUUUUGGAAAGAGGAGGCAUGGCAGGUUUGAGAGAGAGAGAGAGAGAGAGGAGUUGAAGAAAGGUUUGUAGAAAAUUGAAUUGGUAUAGUUGAAGGCAGUCAGACUAAGUAAGAGAGAUUGUGAGAGAGUGCAACUUUGUAGAGUUUGGAAAGGAGGCAGGCAAAGAAAGAGAUGGUACUGGUAACUGUUGAGUUAAGGCAAGGCAAGGCAAGAUUGUAAAGUUUGAAGGAAGGAAGAAAGGCAAGGCAGAGAGAGAGAGAGAGAGAGAGAGAGAGAGAGAGAGAGAGAGAGAGAGAGAGAGAGAGAGACGACACUGUUGAAUCUUUGUGGAGUUUGGAAAGGAGGCAUGUAAAGAGUGAGAGAUGGUAUUGUAGAAUAUGGAAAGGCAAGGCAAGGCAAGGCAAAGCUUGGAAAAAGUCUAAGUGUCAAAGAGAUGACCAUGGACGAAUUUUUUUGUAUUGACCUCGAGCGCUUGUUGCUGCAUAUAUUAUGGGGCAGGUGGUUGGUGAGAGAGUAUAAUAUAUAGAGGUAUACCUAUUUCAGUGAGAGUUGGUAAUGGUUGGAGAGGAGUAUGAUGGAGAUGCCCUGGUUUUUUUGGAUGUGGAAAGUUGGAUGUGGUCAGACAAGUGGGCAGUUUUGUGAAAAGAGAGAGAUUUGAAAAUGUUUUGGAAGGAGAAGGCAUGGCAGAGUUUGGGAGAGAGGGACACUGUGCUAUUAGAGAGGACGAGUGGAGGCAAGUUGAAGAGAGAGAGAGAGAUGAAGCAAGUUUUAUACAGAAAGUAAAGUGAGAGAGGGAGGUGGUUUGCUUUUUGGAUGUGGAAAGUUGAAUGCAGUGAGGAGGAAAGAAGGGCAGGAUUUGUGAGAGAGAUGAGACAAGUUCUAUAGAAAAGUGAAUUUGCAAAGUUUGAGAAAAAGUGUGUAUUGUGAAUUUACGUCUCGAUGGAUAUGAGCCAAUGGAUUGCUGACUUCUUGAGUCAUGUAUUUACAGUGAUAUUUAUAUGAACAAGUCAGCUCAAGCUUUUUACCCUUUCAUCCCAUGCAUAGGAUGGUGAGUGCCACAGUUUGCAUGGGUGAGGGCGUCGGAGAGACGGAAAUGACCAAUGCUGCACUAAUAAUAGGCGGGUGUUGAUGGUGAACAGCCGCCGCGCGGCACUGUUCAAGCCCAGUGUUUUUGGAAUGGUUUUGGCGAACGAACACUAGGGUUGAAUGUUACGGGGCCUUCCAUUAUAGAUAAGAGUUCAGUUCAUUAUUGGUGAUGACUGUCUCUGGAAGGUGGUGGUAGACUGCUCAGAAGCCUUUGAGCCUCUUGUGACUGGUUUGUGCAAGCAAUAUUGUUUUGUGAGAAAGAAUAUGUUGGAAAUGAAGUCACAUCAGUGAGUGACUGAUUUUCGUUAGAGAGAGAGAUAUAGAAGGAGAUAUUGCUUGUGCAGGCUGGUAAUAAUGCUCUUCCAUUGUUUUGGGCUUGGAGAGAGAUGGCCGACAGACAAUUUGCCGUUGAUGCAGUACCACAAUAGUAGAGUACACAUGACAACUGGAACACGGCAGUUGUGGGGUAACAUGUGAAAAAAUCAGCAAGGUUGCGGAGUCAGUGCCAGAUAUACAUGACAUGUAUUUUUGGCAGGCGUAUUGCGGUUACCGCCAGCGCUGAUGGCUACCUCAUGCAACCAAAACUUUGAUUUUGAUGUUGAAUUUAUUCCAAUGGAAACCGAGUGAGAGAGAGAGAACUAGAGAGAGAGAAUAUACAUAUAUAUAUAUAGAGAGAGAGAUUGGAUGAACAGAGUUUUACUUGUAAAACUGUGUUUGAUGCCAACAAACUAGUAGUGACUUGUGAACUCGUGUGAGACACAAUAUAAAAUGAGAGGAUGAAGUGGAGAGAGAGAGAGAUAUAUUGAUUUGAAAUAGAAAUUGAGUGGUUUUGGAAUGACAUUGGUUUGGUGGUGGUAGUAGAAGCAAAAAUGAUUUAGAAAGUAAAGGAAAGCCUUUGAGAGAGAGAAGAGAGAGAGAGAGAGAGAGAGAUAUAUAUCCAUUUUUAUGGAUUGUUUGUUUUGCUGGCUUAGUAAUUUAGCUAUUAUAUAAGUAAAUGGACUGAGCUGAGACCGACCGACCGACCGACCAAUGUGAGUCUGGUAAAACCACACAUGUAAUAACUCCUUAUUAUAUGAGGAGAAUAAGAAAGUAAGAAGUAACUACCUGGUUGAUCCUGCCAGUAGUCAUAUGCUUGUCUCAAAGAUUAAGCCAUGCAUGUGUCAGUACAGGCCGCUUUAAGGCGAAACCGCGAAUGGCUCAUUAAAUCAGUUAUCAUUCAUUUGAUGGAAAGCUAUUACUCGGAUAACCCUGGUAAUUCUAGAGCUAAUACGUGACUUUGACAACUCCGACUGGAAGGGAGGAGUGCUUUUAUUAGAUGAAAACCAAGCGGGCCUCGGUCCGUUCACUUGCUUGUGAUGACUCUGAAUAACUUUGUGCAGAGAGCACGGUCUCCGCACCGGCUCCGUAUCUUUCGAGUUUCUGCCUUAUCAUGCUGUGGAUUGUAGGCCAUGCGCCUACAGUGGCUGUUACGGGUGACGGAGAAUCAGGGUUCGAUUCCGGAGAGGGAGCCUGAGAAACGGCUACCACAUCCAAGGAAGGCAGCAGGCACGCAAAUUACCCAAUCCCAGCUCUGGGAGGUAGUGACGAAAAAUAACAAUGCGGGACUCUUCCGAGUCUGCGUAAUUGGAAUGAGCACACUUUAAAUCCUUUAGCAACAACCAAUUGGAGGGCAAGUCUGGUGCCAGCAGCCGCGGUAAUUCCAGCUCCAAUAGCGUAUAUUAAAGUUGUUGCGGUUAAAAAGCUCGUAGUUCGAGUUCAGUUUCGGACUGGGGUGGGAGGUCACCGCCCGGUGCUUGCCCCCUAGGCUCCGAACAGCUUCCGUGAGUGGAAGCCAAGCCGGUUCUGGCGGGGUGCUCUUUACCGAGUGUGCCGUACGGCCGGCCAGUUCACCUUGAAUAAAUGAGAGUGCUCAAAGCAGGCUACUCUGGAAUACAAUGCCGGAAUUUUCCUUG